GACGAACGCUGGCGGCGUGCUUAACACAUGCAAGUCGAACGGUAAGGCCUUCGGGUACGACGAGUGGCGAACGGGUGGAGUAACACGUGGUGGAUCUGCCCUGCACUUCGGGAGUAAGCCUGGGAAACUGGGUCUAAUACCGGAUAGGACCAUGGACUUCGCGGUUUGUGGUGGAAAGCUUUUGCGGUGUGGGAUGGGCCCGCGGCCUAUCAGCUUGUUGGUGGGGUAUGGCCUACCCAAGGCGACGACGGGUAGCCGGCCUGAGAGGGUGUCCGGCCACACUGGGACUGAGAUACGGCCCAGACUCCUACGGGAGGCAGCAGUGGGGAAUAUUGCACAAUGGGCGCAAGCCUGAUGCAGCGACGCCGCG
rnacentral:rRNA from 1 species